rnacentral:rRNA from 1 species
CCUACGGGUGGCAGCAGUGAGGAAUAUUGGUCAAUGGGAGAGAUCCUGAACCAGCCAAGCCGCGUGAGGGAAGACGGCCCUAUGGGUUGUAAACCUCUUUUGUCGGAGAACAAAACCCGGGACGAGUCCCGGACUGCGUGUAUCCUAAGAAAAAGGAUCGGCUAACUCCGUGCCAGCAGCCGCGGUAAUACGGAGGAUGCGAGCGUUAUCCGGAUUUAUUUGGGUUAAAGGGUGCGUUGGCGGGUUGUUAAGUCAGCGGGGAAAUUUGGGGGCCUAACCCCGUCGGAGCGUUGGAAACUGGCAGACUUGAGUUGGCGAGAGGUACGCGGAAUGCGCGGUGUAGCGGUGAAAUGCAUAGAUAUCGCGAAGAACUCCGAGUGCGAAGGCAGCGUACCGGCGCCAGACUGACGCUGAGGCACGAAAGCGUGGGGAUCGAACAGGAUUAGAUACCCGUGUAGUC